GAUCAGCUGGGUCAGCCGUUCAGGUCCUUGACGAGGGUCUCCUGGGCCUUCUUGAGCUCGGUGGCCGGGUCGCCACCGGCGGCGAUCGC
rnacentral:tRNA from 1 species